AUGCCCCGCGCGGGAGAGCGUCGGCGCGCGUCCUGCCACAGCCGGCCGCGUGAGCAGGCCGCCGAAGGAGCAAACCCUCCCCGGGAAUCUCUCAGGCAUCCGUACCGCGUGGGGUCA
rfam:Micrococcus luteus NCTC 2665, complete genome.